rnacentral:rRNA from 1 species
AGAUUGAACGCUGGCGGCAUGCCUAACACAUGCAAGUCGAACGGGAGUAGCAAUACUCUAGUGGCGGACGGGUGAGGAAUACGUAGGAAUUUGCCCUUAAGUGGGGGAUAACCCGGGGAAACCCGGAUUAAUACCGCAUGACCUCGAAAGAGCAAAGUGGGGGAUCGCAAGACCUCACGCUUUUGGAGAAGCCUACGUCGGAUUAGCGUUAGUUGGUGAGGUAAUGGCUCACCGAAGGCGACGUAUCCGUAACUGGUCUGAGAGGAUGAUCAGUCACGACCGGAACUGAGACACGGUCCG